rnacentral:rRNA from 1 species
GAUGAACGCUGGCGGCGUGCUUAACACAUGCAAGUCGAACGAAGCACUUUAGUUGAUCUCUUCGGGGUGAUUCUAAAGUGACUUAGUGGCGGACGGGUGAGUAACGCGUGGGUAACCUGCCUCGUACAGGGGGAUAACAGUUAGAAAUCGACUGCUAAUACCGCAUAACCCGCUAAGGUCGCAUGACCUAGACGGAAAAGAUUUAUCGGUACGAGAUGGACCCGCGUCUGAUUAGCUAGUUGGUCGAGGUAACGGCUCACCAAGGCGACGAUCAGUAGCCGGCCUGACGAGGGUGACCGGCC